UCAGCCCUACGGGGCGCAGCAGUAGGGAAUCUUCCACAAUGGACGAAAGUCUGAUGGAGCAACGCCGCGUGAGUGAAGAAGGGUUUCGGCUCGUAAAGCUCUGUUGGUAGUGAAGAAAGAUAGAGGUAGUAACUGGCCUUUAUUUGACGGUAAUUACUUAGAAAGUCACGGCUAACUACGUGCCAGCAGCCGCGGUAAUACGUAGGUGGCAAGCGUUAUCCGGAUUUAUUGGGCGUAAAGGGAACGCAGGCGGGCUUUUAAGUCUGAUGUGAAAGCCUU
rnacentral:rRNA from 1 species